UACGUAGGGGGCAAGCGUUGUCCGGAUUUAUUGGGCGUAAAGAGCGUGUAGGCGGCUUGGUAGGUCCGCUGUGAAAACUCGAGGCUCAACCUCGAGAUGUCGGCGGAAACCACUUGGCUAGAGUCCGGAAGAGGAGAGUGGAAUUCCCGGUGUAGCGGUGAAAUGCGCAGAUAUCGGGAAGAACACCUAUGGCGAAGGCAGCUCUCUGGGACGGUACUGACGCUGAGACGCGAAAAGCGUGGGGGAGCGAACAGG
rnacentral:rRNA from 1 species